rnacentral:rRNA from 1 species
UACGUAGGGUGCAAGCGUUGUCCGGAAUUAUUGGGCGUAAAGAGCUCGUAGGCGGUCUGUUGCGUCGGCUGUGAAAACCCGGGGCUCAACUCCGGGCCUGCAGCCGAUACGGGCAGACUAGAGUUCGGCAGGGGAGACUGGAAUUCCUGGUGUAGCGGUGAAAUGCGCAGAUAUCAGGAGGAACACCGAUGGCGAAGGCAGAUCUCUGGGCCGUAACUGACGCUGAGGAGCGAAAGCGUGGGGAGCGAACAGG